rnacentral:ncRNA from 1 species
CUGUUUUUGAUUAAAAUUACACAUGUAAGUAUCCGCACACCAGUGAGUUACGGCCCUAAAAGUAAAAAGGAGCAGGUAUCAGGCACGAACUUCAGCCCAAGACACCUUGCCACGCCACACCCCCACGGGAAAGCAACAGUGACAAACAUUAAGCCAUGAGCGAACAAACCCCACAAGCUUGACUUAGUUAUAAUCAAACAGGGCCGGCCAAUCUCGUGCCAGCCGCCGCGGUUAUACGAGAGGCCCAAAUCAGCGUCCAACGGCGUAAAUUGUGACUAGAACUAAACUCCAAUAAAAGAAACAAACCACUGCCUAACCGUAAAACACAGGCAAAAAGAAACUUCUUUGUCCAAAGUACUUUGAACUCACGAAAGCUAGGAAACAAACUAGGAUUAGAUACCCUACUAUGCCUAGCCGUUAAUAAGACACCCAUCAACAAGAUGUCCGCCAGAAAACUACAAGCGAAAAGCUUAAAACUCAAAAGACUUGGCGGUGUCCCACACCCGACUUAGAGGAGCCUGUCCUAUAAUCGAUAACCCACGAUAGACCCAACCACCCUUUGCCAUGCCCGCCUAUAUACCGCCGUCGCAAACCUACCUUACAAAAGAAAAAUAGUAGGUAAAACAGUAAAACACUAAAACGUCAGGUCAAGGUGUAGCCAAUGGGGUGGAAGAGAUGGGCUACAUUCUUUAAUACUAAAGCACACAGAAAGAACCAUGAAAUUAUUCCUAAAGGAGAAUUUAACAGUAAAAUUGGCAAGACAAGCCAACUUUAAGCCCGCUCUGGGACGCGCACACACCGCCCGUCAC